rnacentral:rRNA from 1 species
GACGAGCUCUCCAAACGUUAUUCGGAAUUACUGGGCGUAAAGCGCACGUAGGCGGAUUGGAAAGUUGGAGGUGAAAUCCCAGGGCUCAACCUUGGAACUGCCUUCAAAACUCCCAGUCUUGAGGUCGAGAGAGGUGAGUGGAAUUCCGAGUGUAGAGGUGAAAUUCGUAGAUAUUCGGAGGAACACCAGUGGCGAAGGCGGCUCACUGGCUCGAUACUGACGCUGAGGUGCGAAAGCGUGGGGAGCAAACAGG